rnacentral:rRNA from 1 species
CCUACGGGGCGCAGCAGUGGGGAAUAUUGCACAACGGGGGAAACCCUGAUGCAGCGACGCCGCGUGAGUGAAGAAGUAAUUCGUUAUGUAAAGCUCUAUCAGCAGGGAAGAAAAUGACGGUACCUGAGUAAGAAGCCCCGGCUAAAUACGUGCCAGCAGCCGCGGUAAUACGUAGGGGGCAAGCGUUAACCGGAUUUACUGGGUGGAAAGGGAGCGUAGACGGCAGGGCAAGUCUGGAGUGAAAGGCGGGGGCUCAACCCCCGGACUGCUCUGGAAACUGUACGGCUGGAGUGCAGGAGAGGUAAGUUGAAUUCCUAGUGUAGCGGUGAAAUGCGUAGAUAGUAGGAGGAACACCAGUGGCGAAGGCGGCUUACUGGACUGUAACUGACGUUGAGGCUCGAAAGCGUGGGGAGCAAACAGGAUUAGAUACCCCAGUAGUC